rnacentral:tRNA from 1 species
GCCCGUAUAGUAUAGUGGUUAUUAUUUCUCACUCGUAAUGAGAGGGUCCCUAGUUCAAAUCUGGGUGCGGGCA